rnacentral:rRNA from 1 species
UAGGGAAUCUUCCACAAUGGACGCAAGUCUGAUGGAGCAACGCCGCGUGAGUGAAGAAGGUUUUCGGACCGUAAAGCUCUGUUGUUGGUGAAGAAGGAUAGAGGUAGUAACUGGCCUUUAUUUGACGGUAAUCAACCAGAAAGUCACGGCUAACUACGUGCCAGCAGCCGCGGUAAUACGUAGGUGGCAAGCGUUGUCCGGAUUUAUUGGGCGUAAAGCGAGCGCAGGCGGAAGAAUAAGUCUGAUGUGAAAGCCCUCGGCUUAACCGAGGAAUUGCAUCGGAAACUGUUUUCUUGAGUGCAGAAGAGGAGAGUAGAACUCCAUGUGUAGCGGUGGAAUGCGUAGAUAUAUGGAAGAAUACCAGUGGCGAAGGCGGCUCUCUGGUCUGCAACUGACGCUGAGGCUCGAAAGCAUGGGUAGCGAACAGGAUUAGAUACCCUGGUAGUCCAUGCCGUAAACGAUGAGUGCUAAGUGUUGAGAGGCUUCCGCCUCUCAGUGCUGCAGCUAACGCAUUAAGCACUCCGCCUGGGGGAGUACGACC